rnacentral:tRNA from 1 species
GGAGGAGUGCCGGAGCGGUCUAACGGAGCGGUUUGCUAAACCGUAACUGCCUAAAAAGCGGUUCGUGGGUUCAAAUCCCACCUCCUCCG